GACGAACGCUGGCGGCGUGCUUAACACAUGCAAGUCGAACGGAAAGGCCCUGCUUUUGUGGGGUGCUCGAGUGGCGAACGGGUGAGUAACACGUGAGUAACCUGCCCUUGACUUUGGGAUAACUUCAGGAAACUGGGGCUAAUACCGGAUAGGAGCUACUGCUGCAUGGUGGGGGUUGGAAAGUUUCGGCGGUUGGGGAUGGACUCGCGGCUUAUCAGCUUGUUGGUGGGGUAGUGGCUUACCAAGGCUUUGACGGGUAGCCGGCCUGAGAGGGUGACCGGCCACAUUGGGACUGAGAUACGGCCCAGACUCCUACGGGAGGCAGCAGUGGGGAAUAUUGCACAAUGGGCGGAAGCCUGAUGCAGCAACGCCGCGUGCGGGAUGACGUCCUUCGGGUUGUAAACCGCUUUCGCCUGUGACGAAGCGUGAGUGACGGUAAUGGGUAAAGAAGCACCGGCUAACUACGUG
rnacentral:rRNA from 1 species